rnacentral:rRNA from 1 species
GAUGAACGCUAGCGGCAGGCUUAACACAUGCAAGUCGAGGGGUAGAGGAAGCUUGCUUCCUUGAGACCGGCGCACGGGUGCGUAACGCGUAUACAAUCUACCUUUUACAGAGGGAUAGCCCCAGAGAAAUUUGGAUUAAUACCUCAUAGUAUUUUCGGAUCGCAUGAUUUGAUUAUUAAAGUUCCAACGGUAAAAGAUGAGUAUGCGUCCCAUUAGCUAGAUGGUAAGGUAACGGCUUACCAUGGCAAUGAUGGGUAGGGGUCCUGAGAGGGAGAUCCCCCACACUGGUACUGAGACACGGACCAGACUCCUACGGGAGGCAGCAGUGAGGAAUAUUGGACAAUGGGCGCAAGCCUGAUCCAGCCAUGCCGCGUGCAGGAAGAAGGUCCUAUGGAUUGUAAACUGCUUUUAUACAAGAAGAAACACUCCCUCGUGAGGGAACUUGACGGUACUGUAUGAAUAAGGACCGGCUAACUCCGUGCCAGCAGCCGCGGUAAA